GAUAUCCAUAGAUUGUCGCCAAAUCUAAUGUUGGCUGACUAAUCAAACGGACAUUGCCCACAGUAGGAUCAUACAGCCCGUGCCAUUGGGUAGCCCAGAGCACCAGACCUAAUGCACCCAUACCUAAAAAGAGAAGAUGAUGCCCUAAAAUGAGUCCCAACUUCUUAGGGUCGUCCCA
rnacentral:antisense_RNA from 1 species